rnacentral:rRNA from 1 species
CCUACGGGGGGCAGCAGUGGGGAAUAUUGGACAAUGGGGGGAACCCUGAUCCAGCCAUGCCGCGGGUGUGAAGAAGGCCCUCGGGUUGUAAAGCACUUUCAGUGAGGAAGAACGCCUGGUGGUUAAUACCCAUCAGGAAAGACAUCACUCACAGAAGAAGCACCGGCUAACUCCGUGCCAGCAGCCGCGGUAAUACGGAGGGUGCGAGCGUUAAUCGGAAUUACUGGGCGUAAAGCGCGCGUAGGUGGCUUGAUAAGCCGGUUGUGAAAGCCCCGGGCUCAACCUGGGAACGGCAUCCGGAACUGUCAAGCUAGAGUGCAGGAGAGGAAGGUAGAAUUCCCGGUGUAGCGGUGAAAUGCGUAGAGAUCGGGAGGAAUACCAGUGGCGAAGGCGGCCUUCUGGAAUGACACUGACACUGAGGUGCGAAAGCGUGGGUAGCAAACAGGAUUAGAUACCCCUGUAGUC